AGAGUUUGAUCCUGGCUCAGGAUGAACGCUGGCGGCGUGCCUAAUACAUGCAAGUCGAACGCGAGCACUUGUGCUCGAGUGGCGAACGGGUGAGUAAUACAUAAGUAACCUGCCCUAGACAGGGGGAUAACUAUUGGAAACGAUAGCUAAGACCGCAUAGGUACGGACACUGCAUGGUGACCGUAUUAAAAGUGCCUCAAAGCACUGGUAGAGGAUGGACUUAUGGCGCAUUAGCUGGUUGGCGGGGUAACGGCCCACCAAGGCGACGAUGCGUAGCCGACCUGAGAGGGUGACCGGCCACACUGGGACUGAGACACGGCCCAGACUCCUACGGGAGGCAGCAGUAGGGAAUUUUCGGCAAUGGGGGAAACCCUGACCGAGCAACGCCGCGUGAAGGAAGAAGGUUUUCGGAUUGUAAACUUCUGUUAUAAAGGAAGAACGGCGGCUACAGGAAAUGGUAGCCGAGUGACGGUACUUUAUUAGAAAGCCACGGCUAACUACGUGCCAGCAGCCGCGGUAAUACGUAGGUGGCAAGCGUUAUCCGGAAUUAUUGGGCGUAAAGAGGGAGCAGGCGGCAGCAAGGGUCUGUGGUGAAAGCCUGAAGCUUAACUUCAGUAAGCCAUAGAAACCAGGCAGCUAGAGUGCAGGAGAGGAUCGUGGAAUUCCAUGUGUAGCGGUGAAAUGCGUAGAUAUAUGGAGGAACACCAGUGGCGAAGGCGACGAUCUGGCCUGCAACUGACGCUCAGUCCCGAAAGCGUGGGGAGCAAAUAGGAUUAGAUACCCUAGUAGUCCACGCCGUAAACGAUGAGAACUAAGUGUUGGAGGAAUUCAGUGCUGCAGUUAACGCAAUAAGUUCUCCGCCUGGGGAGUAUGCACGCAAGUGUGAAACUCAAAGGAAUUGACGGGGGCCCGCACAAGCGGUGGAGUAUGUGGUUUAAUUCGAAGCAACGCGAAGAACCUUACCAGGGCUUGACAUCCCACUAACGAGGCAGAGAUGCGUUAGGUGCCCUUCGGGGAAAGUGGAGACAGGUGGUGCAUGGUUGUCGUCAGCUCGUGUCGUGAGAUGUUGGGU
rnacentral:rRNA from 1 species